rnacentral:rRNA from 1 species
UACGUAGGGGGCAAGCGUUGUCCGGAAUUAUUGGGCGUAAAGCGCGCGCAGGCGGCUUUGUAAGUUUGGUGUUUAAUCUCAGAGCUCAACUCUGAUUCGCAUCGAAAACUGCAAGGCUUGAGUGCAGAAGAGGAAAGUGGAAUUCCACGUGUAGCGGUGAAAUGCGUAGAGAUGUGGAGGAACACCAGUGGCGAAGGCGACUUUCUGGGCUGUAACUGACGCUGAGGCGCGAAAGCAUGGGGAGCAAACAGG